rnacentral:rRNA from 1 species
AACCUCCGCAAUGUGAGAAAUCGCGACGGGGGGAUCCCAAGUGCCAUUCUUAACGGGAUGGCUUUUCAUCAGUGUAAAGAGCUUUUGGAAUAAGAGCUGGGCAAGACCGGUGCCAGCCGCCGCGGUAACACCGGCAGCUCUAGUGGUAGCAAUUUUUAUUGGGCCUAAAGCGUCCGUAGCCGGUUUAAUAAGUCUCUGGUGAAAUCCUGUAGCUUAACUGUGGGAAUUGCUGGAGAUACUAUUAGACUUGAGACCGGGAGAGGUUAGAGGUACUCCCAGGGUAGAGGUGAAAUUCUGUAAUCCUGGGAGGACCGCCUGUUGCGAAGGCGUCUAACUGGAACGGUUCUGACGGUGAGGGACGAAAGUUAGGGGCGCGAACCGGAUUAGAUACCCGGGUAGUCCUAACUGUAAACGAUGCGGACUUGGUGUUGGGUGGCUUUGAGCUGCUCCAGUGCCGAAGGGAAGCUGUUAAGUCCGCCGCCUGGGAAGUACGGUCGCAAGACUGAAACUUAAAGGAAUU